AACGAACGCUGGCGGCAGGCUUAACACAUGCAAGUCGAGCGCCCCGCAAGGGGAGCGGCAGACGGGUGAGUAACGCGUGGGAAUCUACCCAUCUCUACGGAAUAACGCAUGGAAACGUGUGCUAAUACCGUAUACGUACUUCGGGAGAAAGAUUUAUCGGAGAUGGAUGAGCCCGCGUUGGAUUAGCUAGUUGGUGGGGUAAAGGCCUACCAAAGCGACGAUCCAUAGCUGGUCUGAGAGGAUGAUCAGCCACACUGGGACUGAGACACGGCCCAGACUCCUACGGGAGGCGGCAGUGGGGAAUAUUGGAAGAUGGGCGCAAGCCUGAUCCAGCCAUGCCGCGUGAGUGAUGAAGGCCCUAGGGUUGUAAAGCUCUUUCACCGGUGAAGAUAAUGACGGUAACCGGAGAAGAAGCCCCGGCUAACUUCGUACCAGCCGCCGCGGUAAAAC
rnacentral:rRNA from 1 species